UGAGCCAGGAUCAAACUCUACGGGCGGUGUGUACUGAGCCAGGAUCAAACUCUACGGGCGGUGUGUACUGAGCCAGGAUCAAACUCUACGGGCGGUGUGUACUGAGCCAGGAUCAGACUCUACGGGCGGUGUGUACAGAGUCUGAGCCAGGAUCAAACUCUACGGGCGGUGUGUACUGAGCCAGGAUCAAACUCCAGUGGGACUGAGACACGGCCCGCACCCCUACGGGGGGCAGCAGUGGGGAAUCGUGGGCAAUGGGCGCAAGCCUGACCCCGCAAUGCCGCGUGAGGGAAGAAGCCCUUCGGGGUGUAAACCUCUGUCAGAUGGGAAGAUGGGACUAGAAGCUAAUACCUCCUAGUCUUGACGGUACCAUCAGAGGAAGGGACGGCUAACUACGUGCCAGCAGCCGCGGUAAUACGUAGGUCCCGAGCGUUGCGCGAUGUUACUGGGCGUAAAGCGUCCGUAGCUGGUUUCGUAAGCGGAUUGUCAAAGCCCGAAGCUCAACUUCGGCAAGGCAUUCCGAACUGCGUUACUUGAGUCCUGUUCAGGUAGGUGGAAUUCCCGGUGUAGCGGUGAAAUGCGUAGAUAUCGGGAGGAACACCAGUGGCGAAGGCGGCCUACUGGGACGGUACUGACGGUCAUGGACGAAAGCUGGGGGAGCAAACCGGAUUAGAUACCCGGGUAGUCCCAGCCGUAAACGAUGGAUGUUAGGUGUAGUGAUAACUUCGCUGCACCCCAGCUAACGCGUUAAACAUCCCGCCUGGGGAGUACGGGCGCAAGCCUGAAACUCAAAGGAAUUGGCGGGGGCCCGCACAACCGGUGGAGCGUCUGGUUUAAUUCGAUGCUAACCGAAAAACCUUACCAGGGUUUGAAAUGGUAGGAAAGGCUGUCGAAAGAUAGCCGUGUUUCCCUUUUGGGAGAAAUCCUACCACAGGUGGUGCAUGGCCGUCGUCAGCUCGUGUUGUGAGAUGUUGGGUUAAGUCCCGCAACGAGCGCAACCCUUGUCCUUAUUUGCUUCCUCGUAUGAGGUGCUCUAUAAGGAGACUGCCGGCGACAAGCCGGAGGAAGGAGGGGACGACGUCAGGUCAGUAUGCCCUUUAUGCCCUGGGCUACACAGGCGCUACAGUGGCAAGGACAAUGAGUAGCGAGAGUGCAAGCUCAAGCUAAUCUCACAAACCUUGUCGUGGUGCGAAUUGAAGGUUGAAACUCACCUUCAUGAAGCCGGAAUCGGUAGUAAUGGCGUAUCAGCUAUGUCGCCGUGAAUACGUUCCCGGGCCUU
rnacentral:rRNA from 1 species